rnacentral:rRNA from 1 species
UACAGAGGUCUCAAGCGUUUGUUCGGAUUCAUUGGGCGUAAAGGGUGCGUAGGUGGCGGGGUAAGUCGGAUGUGAAAUCCCGGGGCUCAACCUCGGAACUGCAUUCGAUACUGCUUUGCUUGAGUACUGGAGAGGAGAUUUGGAAUUUACGGUGUAGCAGUGAAAUGCGUAGAUAUCGUAAGGAAGACCAGUGGCGAAGGCGGAUCUCUGGACA